rnacentral:rRNA from 1 species
UACAGAGGGUGCGAGCGUUGUCCGGAAUCACUGGGCGUAAAGGGCGCGUAGGCGGCCUGCUAAGUAGAGGGUGAAAUCCUGCGGCUCAACCGCAGGGCUGCCUUCUAAACUGUCAGGCUGGAGCACGGUAGAGGCAGAUGGAAUUCCCGGUGUAGCGGUGGAAUGCGUAGAGAUCGGGAAGAACACCAGUGGCGAAGGCGGUCUGCUGGGCCGUUGCUGACGCUGAGGCGCGACAGCGUGGGGAGC